UACGUAGGGCGCAAGCGUUGUCCGGAAUUAUUGGGCGUAAAGAGCUCGUAGGCGGCUUGUCACGUCGGAUGUGAAAGCCCGGGGCUUAACCCCGGGUCUGCAUUCGAUACGGGCUAGCUAGAGUGUGGUAGGGGAGAUCGGAAUUCCUGGUGUAGCAGUGAAAUGCGCAGAUAUCAGGAGGAACACCGGUGGCGAAGGCGGAUCUCUGGGCCAUUACUGACGCUGAGGAGCGAAAGCGUGGGGAGCGAACAGG
rnacentral:rRNA from 1 species